rnacentral:lncRNA from 1 species
GUUUUACUUCAUUAAUACAUUUGAAUUCUGAAUCUUUUUUUGGUAUUUCAUUCUAAUUUUUCUGUUCAACAUGUUUUAAACUGUCGGUGCACAGUAUGCAGGAGACAACUCAGUGAGCAGUGGAGAGGAUAGGCAAAGUGCUUUCUGACAACUUUACCACGAAUCUCCAAUUGAUGAGGCAUAUUGAAAAAAAUGCACAUUCCCUUAUUGGACAAAGUUACAGAAAAGACCCCUCAGUAUUAGCUGGUAAACAUGUACAGGAUGUCAAAACCACAAUGACAUUUAAUACAAAAUGAAACUCUCCUGUUAUUGUACCACACAUGCUGGAUCCUGCACCUGAAGCUGAACAAAUCUUUGUGCGAAACUCUCCUCCCACAAGCGUACGGGUGAACCGAGAUACGGUAUUAAACAAUGUUGGACAUGGUCUUGCUCACUGCUGUGUUAUUCCAACAAGCGUCAGCCUGCAGCAAACUGCCCUCUGUCCACCAGCCAGCCUUCCUGCCUGCAGUGGAAGGAAGCACUGCUUUGCUGCCGUGUCAUGUGUUCCCUGGCAACACGAACCCGGAGAGAAUUCAUUUUCAGUGGUGGUACAGGAAUAAGAAUAAAAAAAUAAAUGUGUACCCAGAUGAUUUAUCAUCUCUAAACCACACAGGACGGGUGUCUCUGUACCCAAGCGGUGACCAGUACAGCUUGACCAUAGCCAUUGCGAGAGUUCAAACCACAGACCAGCUCUCCUACACCUGCAGCUUCUCCUUCAUCCUCAACGGCAGCUACCACAUACUUCAUGGAAAUGGAACAAAGCUCUAUGUACAUGGACCUCUGGAAGUGACCGAGUCCUGUUUCCGCCUCAACAUAAACCUGACCUGUCAAGUUCUCGUCCCUGACACCGACACCAGCGAUAGCGGCGAUGUCACCAUGCUGGGGUGGCGCGGAGCUUUGAGCAAUGAUGAUUUGCCAGCGUACCAGAGCCAGCUCAUGAUGAAGAACAGACGAAUCCUGCUGAGAUCCCAGAUAAGCGUGGCCAUUGCCCACAGCCAAGGCAUCUACACCUGCUCUCUCCAGAGGGGCCCUGACCUCCUGGCACAGAAGAGCAUCCGAGUGGUGACUGAGGCUAACCCAGUGCUGAUCUACGCUGCCAACCUAAUCAUCUCCUUCCUGAUCCUCCUAGUCCUCGUUGUCAUCGUCGUUCUACAGAGGAGAUUCUCCUGCCGGCGCAGGCGUUAGGGGUCCAAGACAGAGGGGACCCUGCUCCUCGAAGGCUGCGAGGUUCCGCUGCCACUCUCACUGCCUUUGGGAAGGUGAAUCCUGCAAGUAGAUUCCGAAAUGUAGGGAACAGAGACAGUACAAGUCCUAACUACUUAGGAUGGUAUUACCAUGCCUGACUGCAAAUUCUCACAACUCACUUUCGUUUUCAUUGCACAACACUGUACCGUGCUUCCCCAUAAAUUACCUUUGUCUGUGCUGUAAAUGUCAUUAAAAGAGAAGUUAGAUUUAAUCGUUCAGCUCAUGUUUUUCUGCAGACCAACCUGCUACUUUGUAAUGUUACGCCUUGUUUACAAAGCUAUAUGCAAUGAAUUACCUGUUCAUACAGCUGGAUAAUCCUUAAUGGAGCAGUUCUACAGUUCAUAGUCACUUACAGUGGGAGUGGGGAUCUUAACCGAGGUCCUGCUUGCUGCCUUUACAACAAUAUAUGCCACCGAGUCACUGAAAUACAGUACAGUACUUGCAAUUUUUUCAACUUUAUGAUGGUGAGCUGGCGAUAGACAUUCAGUAGAUACCGUACUUCGAAUUUUGAAGUUUGAUUUUUUUCCCUGGUAAGCAAUAUGAGGAACGAUACUCUCUUGCGAUGCUGGGCAGCUACAGCAGCCACAUCUCCCAUUUGGUCACGCAGAGGUGUGUAUUAGGUGUAUCAAAUGCAUUUUCGACUCAC